rnacentral:rRNA from 1 species
AGAGUUUGAUCAUGGCUCAGCGCGAACGCUGGCGGCAUGGCUAAAACAUGCAAGUCGAACGAGAACCCCGCAAGGGGGUAGAGCGGCGAAAGGGCGAGUAAUGCGUUUCUAUGUACCCUAAGGCGAGGGAUAGCCCAGGGAAACUUGGAGUAAUACCUCAUGUGGCCUCCGGAUCAAAGGCUUGUGCUGCCUUGGGAGCAGAGAACGUCCUAUCAGGUUGUUGGUGAGGUAACGGCUCACCAAGCCUAAGACGGGUAGCGGGUGUGAGAGCAUGACCCGCCGCAUCGGGACUGAGACACUGCCCGGACUCCUACGGGAGGCUGCAGUAACGAAUCUUCCGCAAUGCGCGAAAGCGUGACGGAGCAAUGCCGCGUGCAGGAUGAAGCUUUUCGGAGUGUAAACUGCUGUCAGGGGCUAGCAACACAAUGAUCAGACCCAAAGGAAGGGCCGGCUAACUUCGUGCCAGCAGCCGCGGUAAUACGAAGGGCCCGAGCGUUGCGCGGAAUCACUGGGCUUAAAGCGUACGCAGGCGGACCUGCAGGCGUUUUGUGAAAGCCCUCGGCUCAACCGGGGAAUUGCUUGGUGAACUGCACGUCUUGAGGCAAGUAGAGGUGGUCGGAACGAUAGGUGGAGCGGUGAUAUGCUUAGAUAUCUAUCGGAACGCCAAAGGAGAAGUCAGGCCACUGGGCCUGUUCUGACGCUGAGGCACGAAAGCGUGGGUAGCGAACGGGAUUAGAUACCCCGGUAGUCCACGCCGUAAAACGAUGCGCACUAGGUCGGGGAGGUUUGACGCCCUCCCGGCCGAAGCAAAAGUGUUAAGUGCGCCGCCUGGGGAGUACGGUCGCAAGGCUAAAACUCAAAGGAAUUGACGGGGGCUCACACAAGCGGUGGAGCAUGUGGCUUAAUUCGAAGCAACGCGAAGAACCUUAUCCAGGGUUUGACAUGUAUGGAUUAGCUCUCAGAAAGAGUAAGUUGCCCUUUGGGUGAAACGUGCACAGGUGCUGCAUGGCUGUCGUCAGCUCGUGCUGUGAAGUGUCGGGUUAAGUCCCUUAACGAGCGAAACCCCUAUCUUUAGUUGCCAGCGAGUAAUGUCGGGGACUCUAGAGAGACUGCCGGUGUUAAACCGGAGGAAGGUGGGGAUGACGUCAAGUCCUCAUGGCCUUUAUGCCCUGGGCUGCACACGUGCUACAAUGCGGCGUACAGAGCGAAGCAAUAUCGUAAGGUGGAGCAAAUCGCACAAAGCGCCGCUCAGUUCGGAUUGUGGUCUGCAACUCGACCACAUGAAGCUGGAAUCGCUAGUAAUCGCGUAUCAGCUACGACGCGGUGAAUACGUUCCUGAGCCUUGUACACACCGCCCGUCAAGUCAUGGAAGCCGGUAGUGCCCGAAGUGGCCCUGAAUCAAGGGUCCCUACGGCAAGAUCGGUGACUAGGACUAAGUCGUAACAAGGUA